UCCGCUGCACCCCAAAUAUGUUGUUCGGCUAUUAAAUUAGCAUCUGAAGCAGUAGAAUAACACUCCCAUGCACCUUUUGAGCCAGGAAACCUUAAAGGAAGACCCUCAUGCUUGCAAAUUGCGGCGUAAACACAAAGCGUGCCAAUGACGUUCAUCAUGCUAUAAGGUGAAAAUCCAAAGAUGGGGUGUGGUCGAUUAAUGAACCAUGUCGUUCCUUUUUUCUUACCCACCUGAACAAAUAUAUUGUUCAUUUAAUUAUAUAAUAAUGUAUGUGAUACCCCCUAAAAAAUAAAUAGAUGUGAAACUAUUUGCUAAAAAGAAUGUAUGCGAUAUACUAAUUCUUGUUUAAGUGACUAAAUAUAAGUUCCAAGAUUAAUUUAACACAGAAAAUAUAAUUCCAAAGAAUGUUAGUAAUAUAUAAUUUCAAUUUGUUAAAAACAUAGUGGAAAAAGGUUAGAUUGUAUUGAUAUUUCUAUGAUCAUAUGAGUCUAGUAUGUGUUUCAAAUUCAAAACUAAACUUAUUUGUUUACUUUAUAAUAAUCUUUUGUUGUAAAGACAUUUUUUUAGAAAGUCUAGUUUGCAAUAAUUUUAUGCACCAACCUCUUCUAACAAGAUAUCCUCCUGUGUGUAAUAGAAAUUGGGUGUGACAAGGCGUGGCACAUCCUCCGUGAAGGGGGACUCAUGGGCCUUGAUCUUACCGAUCGUUUCGAAGGAUCCUAGGUAGUGCUUAGUUCCUGUUUGAAGGGACACAUGGCAAAGAUUGAGAGUAUUUGGGAUGAGGGCUCGAAGGACGUUCCUUAACAUUGAACCGUUAACUUCGCAGUUUUGAGCCUCUGUAGGCAUGCUGGUCCACGAGACAUAGAAAAUAUGUGUCACAUCAGUUAAGGGAGAGAGCUUCAAUUCGACGUCUUUUUGGUCAGAGACAUCGCAUUGAAUGUAGUGAACAUACUUAUCAGCGUUCCACGUUGGUUGUGGACGGCGAGCCACACCAUAAACCUUCCAUGGACCACCUGGUGUGUCGUCGAGAGGUAGAAUCUCUGCUAGGCUAUUUCCCACAAUUCCCGUCACGCCUAUAAUCAAUGCUACAUUUUGGAAGCUUCCUGGUGCUUCCUUGAAUUCUGUAAUCUGCACAGGCACAAGAGAGUGAGUAAAAUCUCAUUAGUUGAAAAUAAAAAUUAAAAGGGAGAGGAUAUUGAAAAACAUAGAACAAUGCUUAAAUAACUUGCUUUGCCAGUGCCAGAUGCUUUAGCUAACCACCAGUUCAUUUUUUUUUUCUUUUCAAAGAUAAUGUGAUGUUGAAUCAUGAUGUUUGUGUAGUAUAGGUGACAUGCUAUUAAAAGCUGUAUUGCUUGAGACAGUGAGUGCCAUAAGGCCAUGACAUUCUCGUUUUUAUUAUAUUAAUAUUAUUUGGGAAAUGCCAACGAGUGCCCCUAGAGCACUCAGGACCUUAAAAGGUAAGUUUUUAUAAAAGUUUCCGUAUCCAAUAUAUUGGAAAUUGUGAUAUUUGACUUUUUUAUAAGAAUAUUUUCUUAAAGUAAAAUGCUUAACGAAUGAUCCGAAAACACUCGUUAACAAGACCCUGCUAUUCAGUUUAAGGGUCCCUUACCCUGGUCCAAUUGUCCACCCUUACCUUUGGACGGGCUCAAAAAGAUCAACAUCCACUUUAUUAUCAGCACAAAAAACAACCACGUCUAAGGGUCCCUAAUCCUGGUCCCUGACAAAUAAUUGCUAUGAAAUAAUUCAACAGUUGGUAGACAUGAAAGAAAAGUUGGUACACUAAGCACCACAUUGAACAAAGUUUGAAAAUAAUUGACAAGAAGGAAGUUGAUACCGAUAAGAGAAUGUAGACGACGCAUAUUCAACUGCAAAUGGAAGCAGACAAGAUUUAUGGUCCGACGAAGAUAGUACUAAAAGAUUGCUUGUCGUAUGUUGUAAACAAGGUUGAAUACUUACAUUUUGAACCCUAAUCAUCAACUGAAAACGAAUUCAAGCUAUAAGAAUAUAAGUGUAUCUUCCAUGCUUAUUUUUCUUUAAAUUUCAACAAUGUAGUCACAUUUCAAUUCUAAGUUAUUUUCUGGUGUGAACGUUUUUGCUGCUGUGUUUUUGUUUCUGCGCUUUCUGCAUAAUCGCAUUCUGUGAGUGUUUCUGCAUUGCGCGCUGUUCUGAAGUGUUCUUGUUCAUGUUAAAAACGCAAAAAUCAAUAUUUGUCCUCAAAAUUGUAAAGGUUGAUCAAUUUAAUCUCUCACAUGUACAUUAAAUUACAAAUUAGUCCAUUAAAUUAAUAAACAACAUUCAAUUUUGUUUCUCCAUCAAAAUAUCUCUUUAGUAGCAGCAAUCUAUCAAACUAAUGAAAGACAUACAUAUUGACUUGAAUAGUCUUUGGCAACAUCAAGACAUGCAUAUAAUCUUUUAAAAUAGUGUUAAACUUGGGAAGAAAAAAAAGAACGAUUAAAUUGAUUGAUGUUGUCAAAUUUAAAGGUCUAAAUUGCUAUUUCACUAAUUUGAGGGACUAACACCUCUGGACGGAAACUUCAUAUUAUUGUCCUUUUAGAAUAAAAAUUAAUUACAAAAAAUAGUGGAUUGCGUAGGUUUUUGCUGCCUUCAAAUAGGGUGUUAUUCCCUUAAAAAAUUCCAUAAAACAAACUACAACAUUAUUACAAAAGAGCAAACACUAAGAAAAUAGAACAGUAAAUAAUAACUCUUCCCACCCUAUCAUGAGACUUAUUUACUACGUCGCUUAGUACGGUGAAGCAAAGGGAAGACCAAGGCUAUAUAUUAGACCUAGGUUCUUUGUUUUUAGAUGCACGUAACACUUUAAGCUUAUAUCUAACUUAAUUUAAAUAUUUAUUUUGUGAGAGUGUGGUUGCACCGGGACAUUGGGCGUGAGAGUGAGAGAAGUCUAUGUGUUGUAAAAAAAUUCACAUAAUAAUUCUCUAGUUGUAACGGUCGUGGUUUUUUCUUCAGUUUUGGAGUUCUUACUUUAUAUUCUUGUGUUGUGAUUUUGCUUAUUUUUCUUCUUCAGCUUUGUUAUUUCUAACAAGCACCUCAUUGUCAAUAUUUGGUCAAAGUCUGACUUGAGGACUGUGAAAUCAGAAAGGGGGCAUAAUAGUGGGUCAAAAUCGCACAUUUAAAACUACAGAGUUAAAAUCACACAAUUGAUAAACCAGGGGGUUGAAAACUACAUUUAAGCCUUUAUUUUAUCAGGAUUAUAUCAUUUAUUUUGCUCAUUGGUGGGUUGAGUGAACACAUAAUAUGCUUUUGUUGUUUUGCUCAUCAUCGAGUUAGAUUAGUUUGGAGUUGAUUGAAAUAUACUGAUUUUCAACCCAACUAAAACCAAUAAAAUUUGAUUAAAUCCGGCAAAGACUUUAACCAAAACCGAACCACGUCAUCAUAAAAUCCGCAAACCAAUAGUCCGCAACCUAUUCAAGCUUGGAUGGGAGAGAAUGAUGAAUGAAUUAUUAAAAUAAACUAUUUAGAUGAGAGAGAAUGAGUGGUUAAGAGAGAGAUAGAGACAAUGGUACUAAUGGCACCAAAAGCCAAUGACACCCAAGUGCUACCCGAUAUAACCCAUUAACCCAUCUUUAUCAGGCAUGCAGCAAGCGAAGACAAAAUGCAUAAUCAAUGAGUCAAAAAAGUUAUCACCCUAAAUUAAUUCAGUGUGGCUUGCUAGCCAGUUUUGCUAUAGCACUUAAUUAAUUCACCUGUGUUAAUUAAUUAUUCCUUCUAUAAUAAUCAACUGGCCAAUCUUCAUAUUUAAUACCAUGGUUCCCACACGGUUACCCUAAUUUGUGAAAAUAUUUUUCUCAUGACACGGCAGAGUUAAUUCAUUCACUUCUCAUUUAAGGAAAUCAUAUAGUUCUAUAAAUCGGAGUGGUUUGGAGACAAUUUUAUUCCAUUGCAAAACAAUAUCCAUCGACAAGAGGAAAAUAAAAUACUCAUUCAUACUUACACUAUGGCAAAAUCCACUGCUUCACUUGUUUUGGUUCUCCUUGUUGCGGCGAUUUUGAAUGGCUAUAGUGCUGAGGGUGCAGGAAGAGGUAAUCAACUCGAAAAAGAUGAUGGCCAUGUUUACGAAUCUCAAAAGUUGAUUUCGGCUGAGCCGGAUCCGGAUCCAGAUUGUUCGGGGUUGUAUAAUAUGUGUUUGAAUGAUCCUAACAUGUGUGGCUACUACAGUAGUGUGUGUCCUCUCCCUCCUCUGUCUAGCAAAGAUCUCCAAUCCACUGCAGCUAAAAAUGGUAAUCCUACAAUUGAAAUCCUUCCAUGAUGAGAGAUUGUGGCCAUGGUUUGUGUGUUAUUAUUGAUAUAUUUUUAUCUAUAUGUAUCGUUUUGUGAGUGUGUGAAAGUAUUAUAUGAUAUUAAAAAUUAUAUAGCUAAAUAACUCUAUCGGCCUUUACUGGUUGUUGUACCUUAGCUAAGAUAUAUAUAUAUAUAUAUAUAUAUAUAUAUAUUGUGCUAUGCAUUUUGUAUUAUUGUGCCAUAUUAUAUGGUUAUAUUAUAUAUAUGCAGAUUGAAAUAAAAUUCACAUGUGUGUUUCUUGUGUCUCGGAGCAUCACAAUACGUGUAGCAAACUUGUUUAUUUUUUACGAGUAAAGAGAAAUUUAAAAAGGAGGAUAUCAGAUUAAUAUGAUAGAAAAGAAAUAUAAAAAUAACUAUAAUAUGUUGGUACAUAACACACAUUUUUUCAUACAAAAGCCACAACACUAUUACAAAUAAGCAAACACCAUAAACAUAGAAAAGUAAAAUAUAACUCUUCCUACCCACUUUAUUUAUCACAACAAAAAGCUUAUGACAAUUCAAAACCCAAACUAUCAUGGCACAAUCUUGUAAGCUUUUGUCUUAUCAAUCCAACUAAUGAACGAAUUCUUAGAAUUCCUAAAUCCUAAGAAUCCAUGUUCCUUAGACUUGUUCAUACUAUCCAACACACCCUCCACUCUAAACAUAAAAUCUGCAAACCACCAAUCUCCAACUUCUUCAAGCUUGGUGUACAACAAUUCAUUCUCCCUCACAAUCUCUUCCCACACACCACCCUUAUCCUUCAUCAAAUCCGAUAACCUCAACUCCGACCCCUCCUCAAAUCCAUAAUCAUCGAUCUCAAACCGUUCUGCUAACACCUUCCACAAAUGUUUCCACCUGAAAACAUCGCCAUUGCUGCAGUUGAAUGCUUCAUUCUUUGCAUUAGGAUCCACUGCACCCCAAAUAUGUUGUUCGGAUAUUAAAUUAGCAUCUGAAGCUGUUGAAUAACAUUCCCAUGCACCUUUUGAGCCAGGAAACCUUAAUGGAAGACCCUCAUGCUUGCAAAUUGCAGCGUAAACACAAAGCGUGCCAAUGAGGUUCAUCAUGCUGUAAGGUGAAAAUCCAAAGAUAACUUGUGGUCGAUUAAUGAACCAUGUCGUUCCUUUUUUCUUACCCACCUGAAUAAAAUAGUUGAACAAAUAGCUGAUUUAAUUAUAUAACAAAAUAAUUAAUGCCAGUUAUAUUAAUUGUUGUCUAGGUGACUAAAUAUAAGUUCCAAGAUUAAUUUAACCAAGCAAAUAUUAUUCCAAGCCUAUUGUAUAAUUUCAAUAAGUUAGAAACAGAUUGGAAAAAGGUUUAAUUGAUUUGAGAUUUCAACUACUUGUUUAGUAUAGUAUGUGUUUUAAAUUCAAUACUAAACUUGAUCUGUUUGCUUGAUAUAAUCUUUUGUCUUAGGACUUUAUUUUACAUAAAGCCUAAUUAACUUAGCUUUAAAUCUAGGUUGCGAUAACUUCUAAUAAAUAAUCUUAUAGGGCUAAUUCAAGAGAAUUAUAUUGGUUAAAGUUCAAGUAUCACAUUGAAAAAAUAUACAUUUGAAAAUUGUUUAUAAAGAUUGACAUAUUUUCCCCUGCAGACCGAUUUUAUAAGAAUGGGUUAGCUAGAUGCGCUAUAUUAAAAUAUAAUCACUAUUAUCAGGCAUACCUAAUGCUUUAUUAACAAAAUUCCCACAAAAAAAAUGUAUUUAGCAAAGAUAAUUUAAUGGAAAGAGUAAUAGCAUUAAUUCUAAAUCUUAUGAUGUGUAAUUCUAAGAGCAGCUUUUGCCCUAGUUGCUUAAACAUAAACAACUUUGCUUAUUUUUUUGUCAAAUGCAUCUAAA
rnacentral:lncRNA from 1 species